AAAAUCCGUCGACUUUUAAAAUCGUGAGGGUUCAAGUCCCUUGUCCCUCUAUCCCCA
rnacentral:tRNA from 1 species